rnacentral:lncRNA from 1 species
GUUACUCUUAUAAUACAUACUUAACUAAACAUUGUACUCUCUAACCAUCAAAAACUAACCCUCCAUGGAUAUAUAUAAUAACUUGAACAUUUAUCCUAAUGAUUUAGAGGUACUGCUUGGAAUCAAACAAAAAUGUGAAAAUAAAAUAUAAGGAAACAUAAAUAGUUCCUGUGAAGCUUGUUACACAUUGGGGGAAGACGAGAAGCAGAAAGUCAUGAAAUUGUAAAGAGCAUUCAAAUGAUUACAUGCUAAUUGACCUUAACAACGGUCCAUUCUACACCCUCACAACUCUGUUCGAAUACCUACACUACAUCUCUUCUACAAAAAUUACUUUCAGGCUCAAAAAAAUACAAGUCUAAAUUACGGUACUUAUUACACAUGUUAAGUGGGAACUAUGCGUUAAAAUACAUGUCAAACAACUAAACUUCAAAGUUUGCACAUAAUCCCAGAACCAGAACUUAUCCAGAUGGAAACUACUUCUUCUAAAAGGUAUAUUUAUCUAGUUGCAAAUUCUCAAGGACUACGAAAUAUGACCCCAAAGAUGUCAGGAUUGGCAUGUUCCAUUAUUGUCUUCUGAGUUUUCAGUUACGGGCAAGAGCUGGUCAGUUGGGGUUUGUACAGGCUGCCUCUCUGAUUCUUCUUUUCUUUGAGA